rnacentral:rRNA from 1 species
UGGGGAAUUUUGGACAAUGGCGCAAGCCUGAUCCAGCCAUGCCGCGUGCGGGAAGAAGGCCUUCGGGUUGUAAACCGCUUUUGUCGGGGAAGAAAAGCCUUGGGUUAAUACCCUGGGGUAAUGACGGUACCUGAAGAAUAAGCACCGGCUAACCACGUGCCAGCAGCCGCGGUAAUACGUAGGGUGCAAGCGUUAAUCGGAAUUACUGGGCGUAAAGCGUGCGCAGGCGGUUAUGCAAGACAGAGGUGAAAUCCCCGGGCUCAACCUGGGAACUGCCUUUGUGACUGCAUAGCUAGAGUACGGUAGAGGGGGAUGGAAUUCCGCGUGUAGCAGUGAAAUGCGUAGAUAUGCGGAGGAACACCGAUGGCGAAGGCAAUCCCCUGGACCUGUACUGACGCUCAUGCACGAAAGCGUGGGGAGCAAACA